rnacentral:rRNA from 1 species
UACGUAGGGUGCGAGCGUUGUCCGGAAUUACUGGGCGUAAAGAGCUCGUAGGUGGUUUGUCGCGUUGUUCGUGAAAACUCACAGCUCAACUGUGGGCGUGCGGGCGAUACGGGCAGACUAGAGUACUGCAGGGGAGACUGGAAUUCCUGGUGUAGCGGUGGAAUGCGCAGAUAUCAGGAGGAACACCGGUGGUGAAGGCGGGUCUCUGGGCAGUAACUGACGCUGAGGAGCGAAAGCGUGGGGAGCGAACAGG